UACGAAGGGGGCUAGCGUUGCUCGGAAUCACUGGGCGUAAAGCGCACGUAGGCGGGUCUUUAAGUCAGGGGUGAAAUCCUGGAGCUCAACUCCAGAACUGCCUUUGAUACUGAGGAUCUCGAGUCCGGGAGAGGUGAGUGGAACUCCGAGUGUAGAGGUGAAAUUCGUAGAUAUUCGGAAGAACACCAGUGGCGAAGGCGGCUCACUGGCCCGGUACGUGACGCUGAGGUGCGAAAGCGUGGGGAGCAAACAGGG
rnacentral:rRNA from 1 species